rnacentral:rRNA from 1 species
CCAUUCCUACGGGAGGCAGCAGUGGGGAAUAUUGCACAAUGGGGGAAACCCUGAUGCAGCAACGCCGCGUGAGUGAAGAAGUAUUUCGGUAUGUAAAGCUCUAUCAGCAGGGAAGAAGAAAGACGGUACCUGACUAAGAAGCCCCGGCUAACUACGUGCCAGCAGCCGCGGUAAUACGUAGGGGGCAAGCGUUAUCCGGAGUUACUGGGUGUAACGGGAGCGUAGGCGGCAUAGCAAGUCUGAAGUGAAAGCCCGUGGCUCAACCGCGGAACUGCUGUGAAAACUGUUAAGCUGGAGUA